CAGCAGCAGCCUGCUGCUG
rnacentral:misc_RNA from 1 species